AGAGUUUGAUCCUGGCUCAGAACGAACGCUGGCGGCGUGGAUAAGACAUGCAAGUCGAGCGCUGAUUACAGGGUAGCAAUAUUCUGUAGUUGGAGCGGCGCAAGGGUGCGUAACACGUGGGUAAUCUACCAUGAAGUUUGGGAUAACUUGCUGAAAGGCGAGCUAAUACCGGAUGUAAAAAUUGGGAGGCAUCUUCUGAUUUUCAAAGCUGGGGACCGUAAGGCCUGGCGCUUCAUGAUGAGCCCGCGGCCUAUCAGCUAGUUGGUAAGGUAACGGCUUACCAAGGCUAAGACGGGUAGCUGGUCUGAGAGGACGACCAGCCACACUGGAACUGAGACACGGUCCAGACACCUACGGGUGGCAGCAGUCGAGAAUUUUUCACAAUGGGCGCAAGCCUGAUGGAGCGACGCCGCGUGGGGGAUGAAUGGCUUCGGCCCGUAAACCCCUGUCAUUUGCGAUCAAACCUCGUUAUUUAAAAGAUGACGAGCUGAUAGUAGCGAAAGAGGAAGGGACGGCUAACUCUGUGCCAGCAGCCGCGGUAAUACAGAGGUCCCAAGCGUUGUUCGGAUUCACUGGGCGUAAAGGGUGCGUAGGUGGCGAGGUAAGUCGGAUGUGAAAUCUCCGAGCUCAACUCGGAAAUGGCAUUGGAAACUACCUUGCUUGAGGGUCGGAGGGGGGACUGGAAUACUUGGUGUAGCAGUGAAAUGCGUAGAUAUCAAGUGGAACACCAGUGGCGAAGGCGAGUCCCUGGACGACUCCUGACACUGAGGCACGAAAGCUAGGGGAGCAAACAGGAUUAGAUACCCUAGUAGUCC
rnacentral:rRNA from 1 species